AAAUUUACCGCCUCCACAUUUCAAAUUGCAACGGCUUUUCUAACUGACCUGAGAGAAAAGCUACGAAGGAUUCAACGGAGAAAAUCUGACUCACGGGAUGAACUCAGCUCUUCCCGGUCCAAAACGCUCCAGACACGCUGUCAAAACAAAGCAAUUCUGUGAUACCCCUCUACAGGACUUGGCCCUCACAUCACGUGCUCAGGAUGUUGGAAACAGGGUGGAGGCCCCGUACUGGCAAACUGGUAACUGUCAGGAGGGAAUGCAGCAACAAUCUGUGUCCUGGUGAAACACCUCAUUACUAAAGUGGUUGGCCUCAUUGGCAAAAUACACAAGCCAAAAUCAAAUGCACACCACCUGCAAGACAACAGGAUUUUUGAUUACAAGACCCCAAAAGUAAAUGGACUGAAUUCCAAAGACAAAUUCAUUUGAAUGCUCUAGACGAUAUUGUUUCUGCUAGAAAACUAGCAUUUAUAAUCAGGGUCCUGAAUUAACCCUUUGACAUUUAUUUUUCAUCCCUGAAAUGCUUUCAGGACUUUCUGAACCUUUAUAAUUGCUGGACAAUGUUUUCUGGGUUUCUGGAAUGUUGCAAAGUAUUUUUGAUUCAUUUGAAACUACUGAAUAUCAGCUCUGCAAUCUGCACCCCUCCUACUCUCAGUAUCCAAACAGCAGAGAUGUGACUAAGAUUUCAAAAGACAUUUGGCUGUACUCUUCUCCUACACACACACACACACACACACACACACACACACAGUAUAAUCAAACCAAAGCCUCCUUAUGGAAUUAACAAAGAGUAGACAGACAGGAUUUAGGACUACAUGAGGUGGAUGAUCUGAUAAGACAGUUUGUGUCAUCCAGGUUAUAUCCUGUAAUAUUCCAAAAGCAUAAUAUCAGUGAGAUAAAACACCUUGUAUACCUAAGCUACACAAGCUAUACCAUAUAAGUUUGUAUAGCCUAGUGCCUGAGAGAAAACAUGUACACUGCAGUCUGCAAUGAAAAUUAAUUUGUGCCAGAUUGCAGAGACUGAAUGUAGCUACACAUGUUGUUGUUGUAAAUACCUCAGAUGUGUUCAUAUUCAAGGAAAUGUGUUAAAUGAACUGCAAUGCAUCCAAUUAAAACAGCAUAACUAGGUAGUCAACACACAUAAUGGCAAAAAAGCAACAAACCUUGUCCACAUUUUAACUGGUUGGUCUCCAGUUUGCAGUUCUUCUCUGAUAAGAUGUUAUCUCAGGUACACAUGUGGAAAAUUAAACUAAAUAAGCACACGCACACAGAUUGACUUACACAGGCAGUAAAUGUGAAUAAUGGAAACAUUCUGAGCUGGUACACUGCAACCAAAACUCUGUACACAGGUCUGGAGAAAUCGUCAUCAUCACCGUCUUCAUCACAAGCAAUCAGGCUUCACAGACUCUCCAAAUGGCUAUGAGAUGCCUUGACACGACAUCAACACGUCCGUGCAGCUGUGGUUGUACAGUAAGAUAUCAUCAUUGGUCCUAUUCAAACCGGACAAUGGACUGAGCGUUCGACCACCGUUUCCAGCUGUGUCCGCCAUAAUAUCGAAACAGCAUAUGAGGCGGAGGCUCUGUGCGCAGCCAAUGGCUGUACUGCAGAGGACCAUUGAAGAGAGAGGGAUGAUGGGAAUAGCAUUCCAAAGAAACAUCUGCAAAGCUUCAAGUGUAAAAGUGCUGAAUGACUGCAACAACAAACAACUAUCAUACGCUGAAAGAAAAGAGAGAGAAUUUCCUCUGGAUCGAGUGAACCACCUGUUUCCACAGAAGAUAUUGCAUCACAACACUGCAGAUUGCUGUCUUUGGAACAGGCACAAUUUCAUCUACAGAAGUGUCAUGUGCAGGUGACACUACUACAGUGAAAGCAGCUUGACUGCAUUAGGAAACAUGCUGUGAGGACCAACCAGGGGCAAAAUUUCAUGAAACAUUCUUAAAAAUAAAUUUCCUGCUUAUUUUUAUUACUUAAGAAAACACUUUCUACCACCCAGCAACCAAACCAAACCAAAA